rnacentral:rRNA from 1 species
CUUUUGUAUAAUGGGUCAGCGACUUAUAUUCUGUAGCAAGGUUAACCGUAUAGGGGAGCCGUAGGGAAACCGAGUCUUAACCGGGCGUUAAGUUGCAGGGUAUAGACCCGAAACCCGGUGAUCUAGCCAUGGGCAGGUUGAAGGUUGGGUAACACUAACUGGAGGACCGAACCGACUAAUGUUGAAAAAUUAGCGGAUGACCUGUGGCUGGGGGUGAAAGGCCAAUCAAACCGGGAGAUAGCUGGUUCUCCCCGAAAGCUAUUUAGGUAGCGCCUCGUGAAUUCAUCUCCGGGGGUAGAGCACUGUUUCGGCUAGGGGGCCAUCCCGGCUUACCAACCCGAUGCAAACUGCGAAUACCGGAGAAUGUUAUCACGGGAGACACACGGCGGGUGCUAACGUCCGUCGUGAAGAGGGAAACAACCCAGACCGCCAGCUAAGGUCCCAAAGUCAUGGUUAAGUGGGAAACGAUGUGGGAAGGCCCAGACAGCCAGGAUGUUGGCUUAGAAGCAGCCAUCAUUUAAAGAAAGCGUAAUAGCUCACUGGUCGAGUCGGCCUGCGCGGAAGAUGUAACGGGGCUAAACCAUGCACCGAAGCUGCGGCAGCGAACGUAUCACUUAAAGCGAUUCAGCGGGUUACGAUUGACGGAGCGAAGCG